CGCAUGGGGAAUGCGAUCUCCCCACUAGGCGACAUGCUGAAGAAUCGCGUCCCGCUCACAUGCAAGGACGCACCAUG
rnacentral:ncRNA from 1 species